rnacentral:rRNA from 1 species
CAAUAGCGUAUAUUAAAGUUGUUGCAGUUAAAAAACUCGUAGUUGGAUUUCUGGUGGGAGCGAUCGGUCUGGCGCUUAGCGCGAGUACUUGCAUCGUCUCCGGCCAUCCUUGGGGAGAGUCUGUCUGGCAUUAAGUUGUCGGGCAGAGGAUCCUCAUCGUUUACUGUGAAAAAAUUAGAGUGUUCAAAGCAGGCUUAUGCCGUUGAAUAUAUUAGCAUGGAAUAAUAAGAUAGGACUUUGGUACUAUUUUGUUGGUUUGCGCACCAAAGUAAUGAUUAAUAGGGACAGUUGGGGGUAUUCGUAUUCCGUUGUCAGAGGUGAAAUCCUUGGAUUUACGGAAGACGAACUACUGCGAAAGCAUUUACCAAGGAUGUUUUCAUUAA